rnacentral:rRNA from 1 species
GAUGAACGCUGGCGGCGUGCUUAACACAUGCAAGUCGAACGCGAAGUGCAGACGGAAACCUUCGGGCGGAAGGCUUUAUUUCGAGUGGCGGCCGGGUGAUUAACGCGUGGGUAACCUGCCUCAUACAGGGGGAUAACAGUUGGAAACGACUGUUAAUACCGCAUAAGACCACGGCACCGCAUGGUGCGGGGGUAAAAACUCCGGUGGUAUGAGAUGGAAUCGCGUUCGAUUAGCCAGUUGGCGGGGUAACGGCCCACCAAAGCGACGAUCGAUAGCCGAUCUGAGAGGAUGACCGGCCACAUUGGGACUGAGACACGGCCCAAACUCCUACGGGAGGCAGCAGUGGGGAAUAUUGCACGAUGGGGGAAACCCUGAUGCAGCGACGCCGCGUGAGUGAAGAAGUAUUUCGGUAUGUAAAGCUCUAUCAGCAGGGAAGAAAAUGACGGUACCUGAGUAAGAAGCCCCGGCUAACUACGUG